CACAGAUAAUGGCCUCACAGGGACAUUUGCAACUUGUAUUUAAUGCUGAUCCUCUAAUGUUAUAUCAUAAUUUGUUUUCUGUACCUAGAUUGAACCUGUCUUUAAAGCCUAGCUAGACAUGACUCGUUGCAUAUGCCUUCACCCACAAAAAUUGCCUACAUGCGGAUGUAGCUAAGUUCCAUUGUAUUGCUUGGUGACAUGGGCAGGAAUGGUUCGCCUCACG